rnacentral:lncRNA from 1 species
AGAUUCAUGUCGGGCGCACUAAGGUACCGUUUGGUUCGGGUAUAAAGAAGAACUAGCUAUUACAGGGAUAGGUACUAAUAUGGGGAUAAAAAAAAUAGCGUUUGGAUGAAAAUUGGAUUGUUCUCGAGGAUAAUAAAAAUAUUAGGAAAUUUUAUAUAGAAAAUGAAGGUGUUGGUGGGGAUAACCGAGAACUACUAUUUUCGGAUAAAAAAUUAGCGUUUGGAUAUAAAGGAAGGGAUAAGUGCCUAUCCCUAUUCCUAUUCCCAAACCAAACA